rnacentral:rRNA from 1 species
GACGAACGCUGGCGGCGUGCUUAACACAUGCAAGUCGAGCGGUAAGGCCCCUUCGGGGGUACACGAGCGGCGAACGGGUGAGUAACACGUGAGCAAUCUGCCCAUCACAUCGGGAUAACUCCGGGAAACCGAAGCUAAUACCGAAUACGACCACCUCCGGCAUCGGAUGGUGGUGGAAAGUUCCGGCGGUGAUGGAUGAGCUCGCGGCCUAUCAGCUUGUUGGUGGGGUAACGGCCCACCAAGGCUUCGACGGGUAGCCGGCCUAAGAGGGUGACCGGCCACACUGGGACUGAGACACGGCCCAGACUCCUACGGGAGGCAGCAGUGGGGAAUAUUGGACAAUGGGCGAAAGCCUGAUCCAGCAACGCCGCGUGAGGGAUGACGGCCUUCGGGUUGUAAACCUCUUUCAGCAGGGACGAAGCGCAAGUGACGGUACCUGCAGAAGAAGCACCGGCCAACUACGUG